UCCAGGGCUGCUCCCCUGAAUGGCUACGUCACUGAUUAAUUUCACAUUGUGCUCAGUUGGGUGCUUUGCUUGCAGGGAGCCAAGAGGUGGACCAGAUUUAAGAAGACAAAGCUCAUUUUAAGGACCUGCAUGUACUGGGAUGAAGAUGAGAAUCUCCGUAGAAGACACUGACCUCCACUGGAAUAAAUUAUUGAACACAUACGAACAGGUAUUCAUAGAAGCUGUCACAGCUAAACAAACAAGGCGAACCGAAUCCCGGAAAGCGGCAGUUCCCGCCGGAUGACUGAAUUUAACUCGAAACAAGAUGAGGGAAGGCGGCAAUAUCUCCCAGUGACCAGCAGGGGUCACUCGACAACCAGAAAACGAAUAGAA